CCACCAACACCCGAACCCGGACUUGGAGCAGAUCGUGCUGCCGCCUCGGAUCCCCUCGCUGGACCCAGCAGAUGCACCCGUAGGAGCUCGUGGCCGGCCUGAACAGAGCCUCCUAUCGUCGUCUUGCGCGCCCGAGGAUCGAGCUGUAGCAGCUCGCUCUCUGUGUUGCCGCAAGUGCCCUGCGCCAUUUGAACUGCCGCGCAAGCCAAGCAUGGUGAACAGCCUCCCGUACUUAUCCCGCGCGCUAGCCGUUGCUAUGCAUCGCUAGCCGGUUUUGCUUCGGCCAUCAGAGAUUCAGAGUUCACAGCAGCUGGCAGUCCGUCGUACAUCCACUGGUUGGCUAGCAAAGCCAACCUUCAUGCUAGAGGUCUUGUGAUUGAAUCACAUGCACCCCGUUUUUCCUUUUGUUAUUUUGUUGGUCUUGCUUCGCUCGUCAUUCAGUUUGAGAAAUCCUUUUAGGCCUUGUUCGGUUGUUUGAGAAUUGAAGGGGUUUGGAGAAGAUUGGGAAGGAUUAAAUCCCCUAUAAGUCAAAUUCUACUUCAAUCCCCUCCCAUCCUCUCCAAUCCUCUCCAAUCCCCUCCUUGUUGGAAUUAAUCGAACAAGCCCUUAUUGCAAACGUUCUAGUGUAGCUCACUGAUCACCCGUCCAUGCACAUCGAGGGAGUUCGUUGGGUCGAAUCCCAGAGUAGCCUAAGUUCUUUUCUUCCAUUGAUUUUAUUUUUUUCUUUUGUGUGCACAGCUACUUGGGCCAAUUUCACUAAUGGGCCACUGCAAGCUAUUAAAAUACGUCCUAUGAUUUAUUUUUUCCUCGAGCAUUUUCAUCAAUAACCUAGUCAUGCAUGGUUGGAUGAGUUGCAAGUUGUUCGUUUCGUAGAUGCCAUGUUAGUUGCACGUAUCCAAUAUUCAUGCCUCCGGCACAUGGUAAACCGGUUAAUCAGGAUCAUCCGAUUAUUCUUUGGCAUGACAUGCACACACUUCCAAUUUGUUUGCACCGGUAUUUCGUCGAGCUAUCGGAACUGGAACGUGUCGUGGCUAUCAUUUGCAUGGAUGUUGCAUUCAUGGAAUAAUUUCCUGUGUUGCACGUACCUUGUAGGCGUAACUCCAUUGGAUAUGAGCUAUGUGUGUAAACUGACUAGAAUGACGUGUAGAAUCACAUGCUCCACUUCUUGCCGUGUUAACAAAAAUUUAUAAUUGCCGUGUACCUAAACGGGAGUGAAUUAAAUAUUUAAAUGUGGAGUUUUGUCUUGGAUAUUGAGUUUCACUUAAUGUGUAGUGUUUGAUGUUGUGAAUUGCCAUGCCAUGCCUUACAUAAUUAAACCGAUUAUGCAUCAUAUGUGUUGUGCAUUAUAUCGUGCAUAUGUUGUGGUGUUACCGUGUGUUGAUUGUUGUUCUGGCUUGUUUCUUAUCGAUAGAGUUUCAAAUCGCUUCGGAGUGUGAGGAUCUGUUCGACUACGUCGGUUCGUCUGCUUCACGGUUUCGUUCUUCUUUCAAGCAGGAUCUCAGACAAGAUGACAAUUUCCCUAGAUACCAUUACUAUCAACACCAUGCUAGUUGUCUCGUUUCUUUCGAUAUGUCUCGCUGCCUAUCACUUANNN
rnacentral:lncRNA from 1 species